UACGUAGGUGGCAAGCGUUGUCCGGAAUUAUUGGGCGUAAAGCGCGCGCAGGCGGUCUCCUAAGUCCGAUGUGAAAGCCCACGGCUCAACCGUGGAGGGGCAUUGGAAACUGGGGGACUUGAGUGCAGGAGAGAAGAGUGGAAUUCCAAGUGUAGCGGUGAAAUGCGUAGAGAUGUGGAGGAACACCAGUGGCGAAGGCGGCUCUUUGGCCUGGAACUGACGCUGAGGCGCGAAAGCGUGGGGAGCAAACAGG
rnacentral:rRNA from 1 species